GAUGAACGCUGGCGGCGUGCUUAAUACAUGCAAGUCGAACGGAGUAUGUAGCAAUACGUACUUAGUGGCGAACGGGUGAGUAACGCGUUGGUGACCUGCCUCGAAGAGAGGGAUAACAGUCCGAAAGGACUGCUAAUACCUCAUGUGAUCAGAGGGUUUAGAAGCUUCUGAUUAAAGGAGUAAUUCACUUCGAGAGGGACCUGCGUACCAUCAGCUAGUUGGUGAGGUAACGGCCCACCAAGGCGAUGACGGUUAGGGGACCUGAGAGGGUGGCCCCCCACAAUGGAACUGAAACACGGUCCAUACACCUACGGGUGGCAGCAGUAGGGAAUAUUAGUUAAUGUGCGAAAGCGCGAACUAGCAACGCCGCGUGUGCGAUGAAGGCCUUCGGGUUGUAAAGCACUUUUCCAAGGGACGAGGAAGGACGGUACCUUGGGAAUAAGCAUCGGCUAACUACGUGCCAGCAGCCGCGGUAAAACGUAGGAUGCAAGCGUUAUCCGGAUUUACUGGGCGUAAAGCGCGUGUAGGCGGUUUGGUAAGUUGGAUGUGAAAGCUCCCGGCUUAACUGGGAGAGGUCGUUCAAUACUGCCGAACUAGAGGAUGGUAGAGGGAGGUGGAAUUCCGAGUGUAGUGGUGAAAUGCGUAGAUAUUCGGAGGAACACCAGUGGCGAAAGCGGCCUCCUGGACCAUUUCUGACGCUCAGACGCGAAAGCUAGGGUAGCAAACGGGAUUAGAGACCCCGGUAGUCCUAGCCGUAAACGAUGUAGACUUGGCGUCGGCGGGUUUAAAUCCGUCGGUGUCGAAGCAAACGCGAUAAGUCUACCGCCUGGGGACUACGGCCGCAAGGUUA
rnacentral:rRNA from 1 species